AGCCUGGCAAGGGUAGGGGGCAGCCUAGCAAGGGUAGGGGCAGCCUGGCAAGAAGGGUAAGGGGCAGCCUGGCAAGGUUAAAGGUCAGCCUGGCAAGGGUAGGUGUCAGCCUGGCAAGAGUGGGGGCCAGCCUGGCAAGGUUAAAGGUCAGCCUGCAAGGGUAGGGGAUGAGCAGAUGCAGAGGCUUCUUUGGAAACCACAGGAUGAAGAAGUCAGGCCGACAGGGUGAGCUGCUCCCCUCCACCUGCCACAUUCUUCAGCCCAGAUGAUGGUCGGAGGCAAUGGCCAUUUGGACACUG
rnacentral:lncRNA from 1 species